rnacentral:lncRNA from 1 species
ACUGACAAGGUACUGGCAGCAAAAAAGAUCCAGUCCUGAUGGUGGGGCACGCUGGUGCAAUGCACACUACUGCACGUGACCCUCAGAGCUUUGAUCAUUCAGUGCUGGUGGAGGCAGGUGCUGGCAAGGCUGCAGGCGAAGAGGCAGCGGGCAGCACUGGAGCUCUGUGCACGGCAGCUAUGGGCAGCAGUCAGGCUGCAGUCCUGGGUCCGCAUGUGGCGUGUCCGCUGGCGUUACUGUCGUUUGCUCAACGCUGUCCGCAUCAUCCAGGUCUAUUGGCGCUGGAGAAGUUGCCAUACCCGUGGCUUUUUCCAUGGCAGCUACGAGCUCACAACAAGCCAGCUGAGCCUUGAGCUUGACAUCUUCCUGGGAUCACAUAUUUGCCGAAUUACAGACUGCAUCCCCUUCCCAAUAAAGAAG